AGCGUGAUGAUCAAAUAAUCAUGCUUACCAUUUACCUCUUCAAAGUCACAGUGCAACAAUGACUUCAGUCUCACAAGGGUGCUGUGAAGUGGCUUCCUUGAGGUGUCCUUGGAAAUCUCUUUGGCCAGUCACCUGAGUAUGCUAGGAAGAAUUUUCUUAAGGCAUGGAUUUUCAAGGAAAGCAUUCCGUCAAACAGGACUGGCAAAGCUGAGCAGGACAAUCCCCCUUUCCCCACCACACAUGCCAGGACAUGGAGACAUCAGUCUGAGAACAGGAGCCAGACAAGAAAGAAAUAAGUAUCAAGAGCAACUGGCUGGAAAGGAACCUUGCAGCUGUUCCCUGACCUCCAGCAGAACACCGCAGUGUCCACACCAUGCCCAGCUCUACAUCACACCCAGCAGCAGCACAGAGGGGAUGUGCAGCCAACAGACCUGUCCUCCUGGGAAUUUCCCUGGCUGUGCUUGGUGAGGGGGGUGAAUGCCUAAGGAAUCAGAAUUAGAGGGAGAAAAUGGAUGUGGCUGAAAGCAAAACCAUCUGAGCACAGGAACUGUCCAUGCAGAUCUAGAUGACCCCACUUCAAUCAGCCAAGGAAGUCUCCAGGCUGCUUAACUGCACUCCUGGAUGGUCUUGGAAUAUUGCUAUUGAUGGAAGCAACAUGAAUUCCCUUGGCAAGUUACUCAUGGGACUUGAGGGCAUUCACAGGACUUAGUAAGGCUCCACUGCUAUUGGCAAACAACAAGAACAGCAAAAAAAGUAUGGUAUGACUUAAAAUAUCCCAGUAAGGAUUUUUAUUUCACUGUAGUUCUUCACAAUGCAUUUUCUACAAUGCAGAAAAAUUUACAACCUUCUGCCUGAGGAAGGUAUUAAUAAACACAGUGCUCCAGGCAUUGUGUUGGGGCUUUGUGGAAUGACUAAAAGUCAGGAGACAAUUAUAAAUGACAACUUUAUUUAAUAAUAAACAACACUAAUAUAUGUUCAA